GGAACAAAUACAAUCACACCGCCUCAUGUGGCCCACGGGCCGCAGUUUGAGGACCUCUGCUCUAAAGAGUCAUUCAACAUCCUGAUCUGGCCCGAGGCCUUCUCCUAGUCCUUCCAUGCAGCUCUCCUGUGCCUGCCGCAGCUGGGGACACCCAGCUGGCCCUGGUCGCACGCCUGUUCCACCUGACUGGAAUAUGCUUCUCCUCCCUCCUUGCCUGUGGAAACUCAGGUCUCCUUUAAGGCCUGAAACUAAAGUCACUCCUUCCAUGAAGCCUCCUUCUAAAAAUGUCUUUCCCUCCUGUCUUGUUGCUUCCAGAGAACUUUGAAGACGCACAUGGGGUUUCUAGGACGCUGUGUUAAAUGACAGUCACGAGUGCGUAUGUCUCUCAUCCCACCAGGCAGUACGCGCUGUGUGCUCUCUUUGUGUUUAACCUUGAAUCCCACAGAACCCACCCUGCUAAGUGUCCUGGUUCUCAAGUCGGCAUGGGGGCUGGCCAGGCCAGGUGUGCUGCCUGAGCCACAGGGACGGGCGAGAAGACUUUCUGACAAGUGAAAAUAAUUUGUGUAGUAAAACUGAAUAUAGCCAACAAGUGGCAUUUUCCUAGCCAAUAAAGUAUGCUUAUUAGCUGGUAGGCACUGGGAUUAUCAGUGGAAAUGAAUCCUCAGAGUAUAUAAAGUCAGUGACCAGACAUUUCUGACCCCUGAUUGACUGAUUUAUGUUCUGGUUCUUCUUCCUUCCUAAGUUUUGCUUGUUUGGCAUCUUAAGAGACAUUUUCCUUUCUGCGACGCCUCAUUAACUCCUAUUUCUUGAGCUUCCCUAAUCCAGUACAGUAGAUGCUACGGGAACCUUACAUGAACAAGAACUCUCCUGCUUCCAAGACAGUAAACACUGAAUAUUAACUCCUGGCAUUUAAAGGCAAAAACAUAAACUGAAAUUCUACUAUCUACCUGGUGCUUUGGAGAUAUGAUUCCACCCUCACCAUAGCUCUGCAAGGCGCUUCCUAGGGCCUCCUAAGCUGCUGCCUAAUUUUCCACAUUGCCCGCCAACAGACCCGGCUCCAGCCACAUUGACACACUUACAACUCCCAGAGGCACCUUCUCUGGCCUGUGCACAAGCCACCACCUCUGCCUGGUGAAAGGCACACACGUCAAAAUCCAUGAGUACUCCUGCAGGGUCACUUUCUCUGUGGAGUCUUUUAUCACCUACCAUCCCUGAAGGAUUAGACACGCCACUGUCAGGUUCUGGGAGCUUCUACUAUAGCCAGCAUACUGUCCUCUGCUGCCAUCGAAUGAUUUUGUUAUGACUGUUAUAAAUGUCCCCAAGCCUAAGUCAUCACGCACACCAGUUUCUUCCCCUGGAUCGUCUGUGCUUUUGGACACACCAUCUCAUCUGGGCUUCAUGGUAGCCAGGCGAGUCAGUGGCGCAGACAUUAUAGUUCUUAUUUUCAGCUGAGCCACGUGAAGAGAAGGAGGCGAAAUGGAUGAUCAAAGUCGCACAACUACUCAGAGGUAGAGCCGGGAUCAGAACUGAGAUCCAGUUUUGGCUCUCAGUCCAGGGGCUCCUAGUGCUGAACUGCCACAGUAGAUGUGGCACCAUGGGUCACUGUCCACCCAGAGGACUCCCCAGCUGCCUUAAAGGGUGAUCUUAUAUGAACGAGGUAUUACAGACAUUAGGAGAUCAUAGAUGAGCAGUGCCUUGUGCUUCUGUUCUGGCUUUGUGCCCUACCUUGCCUGGAUGAGACUGAGCCAAGGCACUGUCUCUGAGCCUGUUUUCUCAUCUGCAAAAGAGGAUCAACUUUUCAAGUCAUGCCCAUUUUUCAGGGUUGUGAGAUCAAAUGAGGCAACGAACAUGAAGGUUCUUUGACACAACCAUAGAACAUCAUUCAAUGAUAAGUAGAUACCCUGUUCUGUAGCAUGGUUUGGCUUCUCUGAGUAAGUACUGAUGAGCACAGACAGUGGGUACUUCCCUGUCUAUUGUUUUAGGUCCUCUGUUGCCUUGUCCUUGAGGCUCUUGCUGGGCUCCAGCUCUGGGCUUUCUGCGCUUCCCCUGCAGAAGCAGCACCGAGGUCCUGCCCUGUACCACAGCUACCCUGGUGGGAGUUUGCAUUUCUGCUUCUCAGGAAGGGCUUGACGCAGGAAAGCAAUGGAGGAGAGGCAAGUUCUGCUCUCACCUCUUUCCCUGUGGUGCGUUUUUGUCUUACCCCCUUUCCUAGACAUUUAUCCAAUUCUAACUUCUUGGUUAAAGGCUCCUCAUUGAAUACUGCAUUUACGUUUCUAUAUAAUGUUUCCUUCAAGGAAAAUAACGCAAACCCCAUUGCACAAAGCCUGAGAGAGUUGCACAGCUCAACAAGGACAGCGAUGGAUCGGACCGUUUAUGACGUGGAGGCCAAACUACUGCCAACCUCUGGUGGUAUGGAACCCAGGCAGAACUCCAGCACACGCAAGGGUUUGGGGUGAUCUGUCCCACCCUAGGGUGAUCACAUGGAUGAUAUCUCAUGCCUACAAUACCUGCUCUGAAGAAGAAAUUUCAUCGUCCUGUUACGUUUGAAAUCUAAUCAUCUACAGUUUAGAUACAAAGUAUUGGGGGAAAAAUUCUUUUCACAAAGUUUGGUUUACAAAACCUUAAAAUACUCUUAAAGUAUUUUAAGUCAGCAGUGUCUUGGAAAAUCAUGAUGGACAUCUAGUUGAAGACUCGCCUUAAGAAAGAUCUGAAUAUCAUAAAAUAGACAUUUAACGUGAACAUGACUGAACUUACAAUUCAAUCUGUCUUUGAUUCCUGAGCGGGUAAUUUAGGAUCUUAUAGAACUUCGGGGUCACCAUUAGAAACAUCAGCUGUCUUAGUACUGGUA